rnacentral:rRNA from 1 species
UGGGGAAUUUUCCGCAAUGGGCGAAAGCCUGACGGAGCAAUGCCGCGUGGAGGUGGAAGGCCUACGGGUCGUCAACUUCUUUUCUCGGAGAAGAAACAAUGACGGUAUCUGAGGAAUAAGCAUCGGCUAACUCUGUUCCAG